AUUGAACGCUGGCGGCAGGCCUAACACAUGCAAGUCGAACGAGUGGCGGACGGGUGAGUAAUGUCUGGGAAACUGCCCGAUGUAGGGGGAUAACUACUGGAAACGGUAGCUAAUACCGCAUACCAUCGGAUGUGCCCAGAUGGGAUUAGCUAGUAGGUGGGGUAACGGCUCACCUAGGCGACGAUCCCUCGCUGGUCUGAGAGGAUGACCAGCCACACUGGGACUGAGACACGGUCCAGACUCCUACGGGAGGCAGCAGUGGGGAAUAUUGCGCAAUGGGCGCAAGCCUGAUGCAGCCAUGCAGCGUGUAUGAAGAAGGCCUUCGGGUUGUAAAGUACUUUCAGCGAGGAGGCGUUACUCGCAGAAGAAGCACCGGCUAACUCCGUGCCAGCAGCCGCGGUAAUUC
rnacentral:rRNA from 1 species